rnacentral:rRNA from 1 species
AAGAGACAGCAGUAGCCACGGUAAUACAGAGGGUGCGAGCGUUAAUCGGAUUUACUGGGCGUAAAGCGUGCGUAGGCGGCUUUUUAAGUCGGAUGUGAAAUCCCUGAGCUUAACUUAGGAAUUGCAUUCGAUACUGGGAAGCUAGAGUAUGGGAGAGGAUGGUAGAAUUCCAGGUGUAGCGGUGAAAUGCGUAGAGAUCUGGAGGAAUACCGAUGGCGAAGGCAGCCAUCUGGCCUAAUACUGACGCUGAGGUACGAAAGCAUGGGGAGCAAACAGGAUUAGAUACCCCCGUAGUCCCUGUCUCUUAUAC